AGGAUCAUGUCUGCUCAACACCCAGAAGUUCCCGGGGAGCCGACGCCAACCAGAGUGAACAUCCUUGAGAGCGCCACAGCUACCGUUCAACCGUUUGGCCCCGUUAAGAAGAUCCAUCAGCACCUCUGCGCGUAAGCUAUAAUCUUUUCGUAUAUGUACUGUUUUAUGAAUUUCUUGAGUUCUUAGUACUAGCUUCUGAAUACUUCCUUCUGUACGUUUUAUCAUCAGAUUCCAUUUUUAUGGAGAUGACAUGACUCGCCAAGUAGAAUCCCACCACUACUGCGCGCACCAGAACGAGGAAAUGCGACAAUGUCUUAUAUACAACAAUUCUGAGCCGGACGCUCAUCUUAUUGGGGUGGAGUACAUCAUAUCUGAGGGCCUCUUUAUGACUCUGCCGGACGAGGAGAAGCCGUUGUGGCAUACCCAUGAGUUUGAGGUGAAGAGUGGGAUUUUAUUCAUGCCUGGAGUUCCUGGUCCGAUACAGAGGCAGGAUCAUGAGAAAGUUUGCAAGACUUACGGCAAAAGCAUCCACUUCUGGCAGGUUGACAAGGGUGACAAUCUCCCUCUUGGUAUACCUCAAGUGAUGAUGUCCUUCACUAGGGACGGCCAGCUUAAUGAGAACCUUGCUAGAGGUAAUCAACAAAAACUGAUAUUGCGUGUACACAUUGCUAAAUCUCGGAACUUGUAUUAAUAAUUGCAAAACAAAUAAGCAGAUGUGGAGAAUCGCUAUGGGAUAUCUUUCGAGAAGGAGAGGGAGAAGAGAGCCUACAUGAAAGGUCCUGAUCUCGGAAUACAUCCACUGGCCAAUGGUGCAGGAAAAGGGGUGAAGACUCUGCUGAGAGAGGUGGAUUGCAAGCCUAUAGAGUCUGUUCCAAGGGUGUUCGUGUGAGACUCAUCUAUAGAAAUAUGGUUCGUCCUGUGUAGAUGCAGGUGCAUAU
rnacentral:lncRNA from 1 species